rnacentral:rRNA from 1 species
AUUGAACGCUGGCGGCAGGCCUAACACAUGCAAGUCGAGCGGAUGAAGGGAGUUUGUUUCUGAACUCAGUGGGGGACGGGCGAGUAAUGAAUAGGAAUCUGAUUGGCAGUGGGGGAGAACGCUCGGAAACGGGAGGAAAUACAGCAUACGUUCUGAGGGUGAAAGAGGGGGAUCUUGGGACAAAAAGCUAAUUGAAGAGCUUAGGUCGGAUUAGCUAUUUGGUGGGGUAAAGGGCUACGAAGGCGACGAUCCGUAACAGGAUAUAGAGGAUGUUCAGUCACACUGGAACUGAGACGCGGUCCAGACCCCUACGGGAGGCAGCAGUGGGGAAUUUUGGCCAAUGGGCAAAAUCCUGAUCCAGCCAUGCCGCGUGUUUGAAGAAGGUCUUCGGAUUUAAAAGCACUUUAGUUUGGGAGAAAGUGCAUUAAGUUAAUACCUUGCUGUUGUGACGUUACCAACAGAAUAAGCACCGGCUAACUUCGUG